UGGCGGACGGGUGAGUAAUGUCUGGGAAACUGCCCGAUGGAGGGGGAUAACUACUGGAAACGGUAGCUAAUACCGCAUAACGUCGCAAGACCAAAGAGGGGGACCUUCGGGCCUCUUGCCAUCGGAUGUGCCCAGAUGGGAUUAGCUAGUAGGUGGGGUAAAAGCUCACCUAGGCGACGAUCCCUAGCUGGUCUGAGAGGAUGACCAGCCACACUGGAACUGAGACACGGUCCAG
rnacentral:rRNA from 1 species